rnacentral:rRNA from 1 species
UACGUAGGGGCAAGCGUUGUCCGGAUUUAUUGGGCGUAAAGAGCGUGUAGGCGGCCUGGAAGGUCAGCUGUGAAAACUCGAGGCUCAACCUCGAGACGUCGGUUGAAACCACCUGGCUAGAGUCCGGAAGAGGAGAGUGGAAUUCCCGGUGUAGCGGUGAAAUGCGCAGAUAUCGGGAAGAACACCCGUGGCGAAGGCGGCUCUCUGGGACGGUACUGACGCGUGAGACGGCGAAAAGCGUUGGGGAGCGAACAGG